UACGGGGGGGGCAAGCGUUGUUCGGAAUUACUGGGCGUAAAGGCUCGUAGGCGGCCAACUAAGUCGGAUGUGAAAUCCCCAGGCUCAACUUGGGAACUGCAUCCGAUACUGGAUGGCUUGAAUUCGGGAGAGGGAUGCAGAAUUCCAGGUGUAGCGGUGAAAUGCGUAGAUAUCUGGAGGAAUACCGGUGGCGAAGGCGGCUUGCUGGGCCAGUUCUGACGCUGAGGAGCGAAAGCGUGGGGAGCGAAACAGG
rnacentral:rRNA from 1 species